UGAGCUUAGAGUCGUUUGGAUAUUGGGAGUACAAGCAAUCUGAGAUGAUGUUUCUUUGGCUGCAGGUACUUCGGUAUAGUCGAUGGGUCGGUAGCAGUGUGCUUGGGAUAUUAUGACUGAAGCUCGCCGCGACAGUUGUAAUUGUCGGACCACGGGUUGUCCACUAUUUUAUAGGUUUGGUAUGGCUUGUGACGUUUGUGUCACUUAUUCUUUGUUAAGCCAUUAUUGUUAUAGUGUUAAUAAGGCUCAAACAGAUAGAUGUUAAAUGGCUCUUCGUUGUAAUUAACUUGUGAUAGAUGUAUAAGUUGUAAUUUCCGCUAUUCAGAUUUAUGUUUUCCGCUGCA